GAUGAACGCUGGCGGCGUGCCUAAUACAUGCAAGUCGAGCGAACAGACGAGGAGCUUGCUCCUCUGACGUUAGCGGCGGACGGGUGAGUAACACGUGGAUAACCUACCUAUAAGACUGGGAUAACUUCGGGAAACCGGAGCUAAUACCGGAUAAUAUAUUGAACCGCAUGGUUCAAUAGUGAAAGACGGUUUUGCUGUCACUUAUAGAUGGAUCCGAGCCGCAUUAGCUAGUUGGUAAGGUAACGGCUUACCAAGGCAACGAUGCGUAGCCGACCUGAGAGGGUGAUCGGCCACACUGGAACGGAGACACGGUCCAGACUCCUACGGGAGGCAGCAGUAGGGAAUCUUCCGCAAUGGGCGAAAGCUUGACGGAGCAACGCCGCGUGAGUGAUGAAGGUCUUCGGAUCGUAAAACUCUGUUAUUAGGGAAGAACAAAUGUGUAAGUAACUAUGCACGUCUUGACGGUACCUAAUCAGAAAGCCACGGCUAACUACGUG
rnacentral:rRNA from 1 species